AUACGUAGGUGACAAGCGUUAUCCGGAUUUACUGGGCGUAAAGGGCGUGUAGGCGGUCUUGCAAGUCAGAAGUGAAAUUCCUGAGCUCAACUCGGGCGCUGCUUCUGAAACUGCAGGACUUGAGUGCUGGAGGGGAUAGCGGAAUUCCUAGUGGAGCGGUAAAAUGCGCAGAUAUUAGGAAGAACACCGGAGGCGAAGGCGACUUUCUGGACAGUAACUGAAGCUGAGGCGCGAAAGCGUGGGGAGCAAACAGGAUUUGGUACCCUGGUAGUCCACGCCGUAAACGAUGAAGACUAGGUGUAGGGGGUAUCGACCCCUUCUGUGCCGCAGUCAACACAAUAAGCGUUCCGCCUGGGGAGUACGGCCGCAAGGUUGAAACUCAAAUGAAUUGACGGGG
rnacentral:rRNA from 1 species